GAUGAAGAACGUAGCGAAAUGCGAUAAGUAAUGCGAAUUGCAGAAUUUCCGUGAGUCAUCGAAUCUUUGAACGCACAUUGCGCCCACUGGUAUUCCGGUGGGCAUGCCUGUUCGAGCGUCAUUAUCCCCCCUCAAACCCCCCGUGUUUGGUGUUAGACCCAAGUUGUGUGAACAACUGGUCUCAAAGACAAUGACGGCGUCCGUGGGACCCUCGGUGCAACGAGCUUUUAGGAGCACGCGCUUAGUUUCAAGGACCCUCCGGGCCGGUCUCCUAUUUAUCAUCAAGGUUGACCUCGGAUCAGGUAGGAAUACCCGCUGAACUUAAGCAUAUCAAUAAGCGGAGGA
rnacentral:misc_RNA from 1 species